AGCUUAACAAAAUUUAUUAUUGUGACCUUUAUUCUGGUUUGAAAUAAUUUAUAUAUAUAACAGGAUUACUUAACUAUGCAAAAGAGAGAAACCCACUGCACAAAGCAUCCCACACUAUUAGGGUCUAGGGAAGGGCCGCACGGCAAGGGGUGUGAUGUUCAAAUGAAAAUGAUGGAAAAAAAUGUUUACUAUCUAAUGGAAUUUAUGGUCUCAAAUGUCAUUAGAAUGUUGUUAUUAUCUGCAGACUGCAUCUUUAUUGCACAUAGAUGCUUGUUGUUGUCAACUACAGGCUACUAUGCUACUAAAGCUGCUACUUAGCUUGCUGUUGUUGGAGUGAACUUUUAAAAGAAUUAAUAUCUCCAUGUUCCUUUGAAGGAAGCUACAUCAACUACCAAUAUCAGGUUAUGAAGGUGGUCCUAUCAUUUUGUUGUAGGUUAUAAAGGUUCUUAUCCUGAAUCACUACUUAGAAUAUCAGUAUCUGUAAGUUUGAUAAUUGCAUUUUAUUAGUUUGACAAAUAGGAAUUAUGUGGCAAGACUGCUUGAAAUCAUUGACAUGAAUGAGUUGCUUCAUUGAACGAGUUGCAUAAAACUAGUAUUUAGAAGUUUUAUACAAAUAUGAAGACAUAUUUCUUGAGUUUCUUUUGUAAAAGUUAAUCUAGUGUAGAAACUGAUCAAUUUGUAUAUCACUUUAAAAUUUGUAAAAAUGUAACUCUUUGUCAUGUAGAACAAAUACAGUCAAUUGAAUUUUCAAGUUAACCAUGAACGAAAAGUAACAUUUCUUUGGUUGCAUUUCCGGAGUUUUGAGUUCGGUGUUAGUAUACUUUCUACCAUAUUUAGAUAAUCACAUCACCUGUGAUGUUGAAUUCUUGUUCUUUAUUAUACUCUUAUUAAUAGGUUGUUCUUUCCUUUUGUCUGCAUAAUCAUUUAGCUUUUGAGUUUGUCAAACAUAUUGUACAUAUACUAGAGCUCCAAUCAAAUUUGGUGGACAGCUAAGUUUCAGACUUUUGUUUGUUUUCGUUAACCUUGAAUAGGAUCUGACUCAUGCUUCCCCCCUCUCAAAGUUGUUUUCCCUUUCACUAUUUUUCAUUUUAUGGAAUGAAAAUUGGUAAGUAGGAGGUAAAAGUUAGUUAUAUCCUUUUCUUCUCCUACUCUUGGGUAAGUUUCCUAUUGAACAUUCCUCUGAAUGCGUCUAAUUAGUUCUCCUAUGUGGUUGUUCCAAAUAUUAUUUUUCUAAAAGUUUCAUUUUGCCUCUGGAGAUUGUUUUCGUACCUGGCUUUUGACAAAGGUAAGCUAUUUAUCUUUUAUAAUGGGAUACUCUUUUAUUUUUAAGAAUGCUCUUAAGUUUUGUAUCUAACUCUUGCUGUGUAUAUUACUUAUAAAUUCUUCUUGCUGUUUUAUUCUAUACAGGACCUUGUUUGGAUUUUGAAGAAUAUUGUUGAAGAGGCUACUCUCUAUGUUUUCUAGUUUGUAGCUUUAUUUACCUAUUAAGGGCAUAUCAUACUCAUUCUUCUCAAGCGGUUGUGGCCAUGCUGUUUUGUUGAACCAUGUCAAUCUUUACUCUGAAUUAGGAUUAAACAAAUGUAGAAAUUAGGGAAAGCUUAGAGAAGUCCACUGCCGAUGAAGUCUAAAAUGUAGAAAUGUAGCAAUUGUCUAAUUUUCAUGGAAAUUAAAGUCUGAUAUUUCUGGGAAAAUUUUUAGCUCUGCAAAAGAUAGAUAAUAGACAGAAAUGACCUUAUCGAGCUUCUUCCUUAUGUUGAUAAGCUUUAUUAAGAAGGUUCUUGAAGUUCAAGGACUUCAUGCUUUUCCUUGUCUAUAACAAGGGUGUUAUCUGUUUGUCUGUAGAGAUAACAUGCUAUCUGAACUUACUGUGAAUCUAUUUGAUAUUUUAUUUUUUGAACUUGCAGUAACUUGAACAAUCAUGAAUCUACAAGGGUGUUCAAGAAAUCAUCAGAAAGUUAAAGAACUUUGUUUCAGCUGGAUCACAUGCAACUUUACGGAAAAAACAGAUGCUAGAACAUAAGAAGAAGAAUACAGGCUACAUAGAAUUUCUUGAAACUUAUCACGACUAGAACUUGAUAGUAUGUAAAAACUUAACUAAUUAUUUGAGUACUUAAAAUACAUUUUGCUUGAGUUUAGAUUACUA